rnacentral:rRNA from 1 species
AACGCUGGCGGCGUGCCUAAUACAUGCAAGUCGAACGAGGUGCCUUUGUAGCAAUACGAAGGUAUCCUAGUGGCGAACGGGUGAGUAACGCGUUGGUGACCUGCCCCAAAGUGUGGGAUAACAGUCCGAAAGGAUUGCUAAUACCGCAUGUGGUCAUCGGGUUUAGAAGCCGAUGACUAAAGUGUCGCUUCGGCGCCACGCUUUGGGAGGGGCCUGCGUCCCAUCAGCUAGUUGGUAGGGUAAUGGCCUACCAAGGCGACGACGGGUAGGGGACCUGAGAGGGUGGCCCCCCACAAUGGAACUGAAACACGGUCCAUACACCUACGGGUGGCAGCAGUAGGGAAUAUUGCUCAAUGGGCGAAAGCCUGAAGCAGCAACGCCGCGUGCGCGAUGAAGGUCUUCGGAUCGUAAAGCGCUUUUCUGCGAGAUGAGAAAGGACAGUAUCGUAGGAAUAAGUCUCGGCUAACUACGUGCCAGCAGCCGCGGUAACACGUAGGAGGCAAGCGUUAUCCGGAUUCACUGGGCGUAAAGCGCGUGCAGGCGGUUCGGUAAGUUGGGCGUGAAAGCUCCCGGCUCAACUGGGAGAGGUCGUCCAAUACUACCGGACUAGAGAACAGAAGAGGAAGAUGGAAUUCCCGGUGUAGUGGUGAAAUGCGUAGAUAUCGGGAGGAACACCAGUGGCGAAGGCGGUCUUCUGGUCUGUUUCUGACGCUCAGACGCGAAAGCUAGGGUAGUAAACGGGAUUAGAGACCCCGGUAAUCCUAGCCGUAAACGAUGUGAACUUGGCGUUGGUGGCUUAA